AUCUGGUUAAUGCGAUGGGUUCUGAUUGUUUUUUUUAAGAAAGCCCAUAUUUAAUUAGGGUUUGCUUCGUCUUAGCGCUGCAGGCUGCGCCGUGUCUCUUCACAUCUCUCCGCCUCCGACCUUCAUCUAUGUAACGCUUCAGUUAUGUAUACAUUAGUCCAAGCUUUUACGUCUUUUGCUCAGAUGAAUAGUCCCACCGAACAAAAUCCCAUAAGUCAUUCUCUGCGAAGAAAUAGGAGCUACUUCAUUGAAUCAUGCAGCACUAACAGGGGAAAUCGAGUUGCUAAAAAAAUUGCUGUCCAAAGCUUGAUGUUUUUGAUGGUGCCUUGCUGCUGAUAUUGGAGAUCUUGAGUUAAUCAACUGUUUACUUAAAGCUGGUGGUGAUCUUAAUCAGAAAGACGAGAUUGGACAUUUGUUGGAGUUCUCGCUCACAUGGAAUCAAAUAAGAAUAAUAGGGAAACUCAAGAAAGUAAAAAUCUGGAGAGACGGUGAUGCCUUCAGGUUUGUUUGAAACCCUCAUGAUGUUUUUUAUCAUUUUUUCAGUAUAAUUGAAGUGUUUUUCUUUCUUAUACGGAGAAGCUCUAGAUGCUCGAAAAAGUUUCAAGGCAAGGACAAAAUUAAGUCCAAACCAUAAUAUCCUCUAGAGAUGGCUCUGUUCAGUAUAUCUAUGAACUUUAAUUUUGCUUCUUACCUUGGUCUCUCCCCUAUGCUGUUGUUACGAUCUUUACUUAAAUGUACUAAAAAUUUCAGGCAUGGAGUUUUGUUUGUGCUCUAAUUUUGUCUCGGUGUUCGGAUUUAUAGCUUUGAUUUUUUAAAAUUGUAAAAUAAUAUUUUUUUUUUUA